rnacentral:rRNA from 1 species
UAUUGCGCAAUGGGGGCAACCCUGACGCAGCAACGCCGCGUGAGUGAGGAAGGUUUUCGGACCGUAAAGCUCUGUCGAGCGGGACGAAAUGCAUGGUGGCUAAUAUCCAUCAUGCUUGACGGUACCGCUAAAGGCAGCACCGGCUAACUCCGUGCCAGCAGCCGCGGUAAUACGGGGGGUGCGAGCGUUGUUCGGAAUUAUUGGGCGUAAAGAGCGUGUAGGCGGCCGAAUAAGUCAGAUGUGAAAUCCCUGGGCUUAACCCAGGACGUGCAUUUGAAACUAUUCGGCUAGAGUAGGGGAGAGGAAAGUGGAAUGCCUGGUGUAGAGGUGAAAUUCGUAGAUAUCAGGAGGAACACCGGUGGCGAAGGCGACUUUCUGGCCCUAUACUGACGCUGAGACGCGAGAGCGUGGGUAGCAAACAG